rnacentral:rRNA from 1 species
ACGAACGCUGGCGGCGUGCUUAACACAUGCAAGUCGAGCGAGGCCCACUCUUCGGGGUGGUGCCCUAGCGGCGAACGGGUGAGUAACACGUGGGCAACCUGCCCUCAGCUCUGGGAUAACUCCAAGAAAUUGGUGCUAAUACCGGAUGUGACCGCUGACCGCAUGGUCUGGUGGUGGAAAGAUUUAUCGGCUGAGGAUGGGCCCGCGGCCUAUCAGCUUGUUGGGGGUCACGGCCCACCAAGGCGACGACGGGUAGCCGGCCUGAGAGGGUGACCGGCCACACUGGGACUGAGACACGGCCCAGACUCCUACGGGAGGCAGCAGUGGGGAAUAUUGCGCAAUGGGCGAAAGCCUGACGCAGCGACGCCGCGUGAGGGAUGACGGCCUGGU